rnacentral:rRNA from 1 species
GACGAACGCUGGCGGCGUGCUUAACACAUGCAAGUCGAACGAUGAAGCGGUGCUUGCACCGUGGAUUAGUGGCGAACGGGUGAGUAAUACGUGAGUGACCUACCUUUGACUCUGGGAUAAGCCUGGGAAACUGGGUCUAAUACCUGAUACGACCAAUCUCUGCAUGGGGUGUUGGUGGCAACCGUUAUGGUGUGGUUUUAGAUGGGCUCACGGCCUAUCAGCUUGGUGGUGAGGUAAUGGCUUACCAAGGCGACGACGGGUAGCCGGCCUGAGAGGGUGAACGGCCACACUGCGACUGAGACACGGCCCAGACUCCUACGGGAGGCAGCAGUGGGGAAUAUUGCACAAUGGGCGCAAGCCUGAGGCAGCGACGCCGCGUGAGGGAUGACGGCCUUCGGGUUGUAAACCUCUGUUAGCAACGAAGAAGCGAAAGUGACGGUAGGUGCAGAGAAAGCGCCGGCUAACUACGUG